GACGAACGCUGGCGGCGUGCUUAACACAUGCAAGUCGAACGAUGAAGCCCAGCUUGCUGGGUGGAUUAGUGGCGAACGGGUGAGUAACACGUGGGCAACCUGCCCCAAACUCUGGGAUAACUCCUCGAAAGAGGUGCUAAUACCGGAUACGAACUAGACAGACAUCUGUACUAGUUGGAAAGUUGUUCGGUUUGGGAUGGGUCCGCGGCCUAUCAGCUUGUUGGUGAGGUAACGGCUCACCAAGGCUACGACGGGUAACCGGCCUGAGAGGGUGACCGGUCACACUGGGACUGAGACACGGCCCAGACUCCUACGGGAGGCAGCAGUGGGGAAUAUUGCGCAAUGGGCGAAAGCCUGACGCAGCGACGCCGCGUGAGGGAUGAAGGUCUUCGGAUCGUAAACCUCUUUCAGUAGGGACGAAGCGAAAGUGACGGUACCUAAAGAAGAAGCACCGGCUAACUACGUGCCAGCAGCCGCCGUAA
rnacentral:rRNA from 1 species